CCUACGGGAGGCAGCAGUGGGGAAUAUUGGGCAAUGGACGCAAGUCUGACCCAGCGACGCCGCGUGAGGGAUGAAGGCCUUCGGGUUGUAAACCUCUUUCAGUAGGGAAGAAGCGAAAGUGACGGUACCUAAAGAAGAAGCACCGGCUAACUAUGUGCCAGCAGCCGCGGUAAUACAUAGGGUGCAAGCGUUGUCCGGAAUUAUUGGGCGUAAAGAGCUCGUAGGUCGUUUGACACGUCGGAUGUGAAAAUCUGAGGCUUAACCUCAGACCUGCAUUCGAUACGGUCAAACUAGAGUGUGGUAGGGGAGACUGGAAUUCCUGGUGUAGCGGUGGAAUGCGCAGAUAUCAGGAGGAACACCAAUGGCGAAGGCAGGUCUCUGGGCCAUUACUGACACUGAGGAGCGAAAGCGCGGGGAGCGAACAGGAUUAGAUACCCCAGUAGUC
rnacentral:rRNA from 1 species